rnacentral:sRNA from 1 species
AUAUCUCUCUGUACGGGAAGGAUGAGAAGCUUCGACUAAGGUUCGAUUCGAGCGCAGCGAGAAAGCGUUGCCGCAGGCAACGACCCGAAGGGCGAAGCGCGCAGCGCUGAGUAAUCCUUCCCCCAC